CAGCUGAACACAAAAAAAAAGUGUAUGGUGUUUCUAGUGUCGCCUUAAAUAUCAUCAAAUCAUCAUCAAGUCAUCAAAUACCCUAACUUGGUACAGACCAGAAAUUCCAAAAUUCUAACAAUGCGGGGAAAACGGCAGAAAAGCGCUAUAACUUCAGCUGAGCGAUGAGCGCUGAGUGCUGAAUACGGAAUAACGAUCAUAGAAUCUUCCACAGGGCACUCUAUGUUGCUACUGUGGGGCACAAUUCAGUUCCUCUACUGCCGGCGAUGGAUGGAACCAAUGCUAUCG